rnacentral:rRNA from 1 species
AAUCGUCCACAAUGGGCGAAAGCCUGAUGGAUCAACGCCGCGUGAGAGAUUAAGUUUUUAGGAUCGUAAUACUCUGUUGUAAGGGAAGAACAAGUACAGUCGUACCUGGCUGUACCUUCACGGUAACUUAUUAUAAAGCUACGGCUAACUACGUGCUAGCAGUCGCGGUAAUACGUAGGUGGCAAGCGUUGUCCGGAAUUAUUGGGCGUAAAGCGCGCGCAGGCGGUCCUUUAAGUCUGAUGUGAAAGCCCACGGCUCAACCGUGGAGGGUCAUUUGAAACUGGGGGACUUGAGUGCAGAAGAGGAAAGUGGAAUUCCAAGUGUAGCGGUGAAAUGCGUAGAGAUUUGGAGGAACACCAGUGGCGAAGGCGACUUUCUGGUCUGUAACUGACGCUGAGGCGCGAAAGCGUGGGGAGCAAACA